rnacentral:rRNA from 2 species
GUGACCUCAAAUCAGGUAGGACUACCCGCUGAACUUAAGCAUAUCAAUAAGCGGAGGAAAAGAAACUAACAAGGAUUCCCCUAGUAACUGCGAGUGAAGCGGGAAAAGCUCAAAUUUAAAAUCUGGCAGUCUUUGGCUGUCCGAGUUGUAAUCUAGAGAAGCAUUAUCCGCGCUGGACCGUGUACAAGUCUCCUGGAAUGGAGCGUCAUAGAGGGUGAGAAUCCCGUCUUUGACACGGACUGCCAGGGCUUUGUGAUGUGCUCUCAAAGAGUCGAGUUGUUUGGGAAUGCAGCUCAAAAUGGGUGGUAAAUUCCAUCUAAAGCUAAAUAUUGGCGAGAGACCGAUAGCGAACAAGUACCGUGAGGGAAAGAUGAAAAGAACUUUGGAAAGAGAGUUAAACAGUACGUGAAAUUGCUGAAAGGGAAACGCUUGAAGUCAGUCGCGUUGUCCAGGGAUCAAUCUUGCUUUUGCUUGGUGUACUUUCUGGUUAACGGGUCAGCAUCAAUUUUGACUAUUGGAAAAAGAUCAAGGGAAUGUGGCAUCUUCGGAUGSGUUAUAG